rnacentral:rRNA from 1 species
UACGAAGGGUGCAAGCGUUACUCGGAAUUACUGGGCGUAAAGCGUGCGUAGGCGGUUUGUUAAGUCAUCUGUGAAAUCUCCGAGCUUAACUCGGAACUGUCAGCUGAUACUGAUGUGCUAGAGUGCGGAAGGGGCAAUCGGAAUUCUUGGUGUAGCGGUGAAAUGCGUAGAUAUCAAGAGGAACACCUGAGGUGAAGACGGGUUGCUGGGCCGACACUGACGCUGAGUGCGCGAAAGCCAGGGGAGCAAACGGG